UUCACAGUUCACUUCACAGACUAGAUAUAAAGCUAAUCUAUUAAUAAUAGUUCAUCUCUUUAUUUCAUCAUAUACCUUAUUAUUUACAUUUGUUUUCUAAUGUAAAUCCGGUGCUUUUGGCGAAAAAGACUUUUAUUUUGGUCUGUCGAUGUGACGUCAUAAGGCUGCGCCGCGCGCCCGCGUCUGUGAUUCUGCUGAAGAAAGGACAAUGUGUCCAAACACAGAAAAAAACUCCUGAAGCAGCUGAGAUCCACGUGACACACUGUUAUAAAGAUGGUGUUUAUUAAAGAGGAGAGUGAAGACAUGAAGAUUGAGGAAACAUUCAGAGUCAAACAUGAAGAUACUGAGGAACAAACAGACCUGAUGGCACUGAAAGAAGAGAGUCAAGAACUGAAUGAAACUCAAGAGAAAGAUCAAAAUGAAGAACAGCAUGAUUUCAAAACUGAAGAGGAAUCGAUUAGUUGCUCACAGACUGAAAAGACUUCCUCACCCAAAAACGCUCAAAAAACACAAACUACAAACAUUAAUUCCCACAUUAGAGUUCAUACUGGAGAGAGACCUUUCACCUGCCAAAAGUGUGGACAAAUUUUCAAACAGAAAGGAAGCUUUACAAUGCAUAUGAAAUUUCACAUUGAAAAGAAACCAAUAAUAUGCCCUCAGUGUGGAAAGAGUUUUACACGGAAACAGUUCCUUAAUGCCCACUUGAGAAUUCACACUGGAGAAAAACCUUACACCUGUAAACUGUGUGGGAAGAGUUUCACACAAAAAAGUACCCUUAAUGCCCACAUAAAACGUCACACUGGAGAGAAACCUUGCACCUGCAAACUGUGUGGGAAGAGUUUCUCAAACGCAUAUUUUAAUACUCACAUGAAAAUUCACACUGAAAAGAAACCAUUAAUAUGCUCUCAGUGUGGAAAGAGUUUUACUGAGAAAAAACUCCUUAACGCCCACAUGAUCAUUCACACUGGAGAGAAACCUUUCCCCUGCAAACUGUGUGGGAAGAGUUUUGCACGUAAAGGACACCUUGAGAUUCACAUGAGGAUUCACACUGGAGAGAGACCAUUCAUAUGUGCUCAGUGUGGAAAGAGUUUUACACAGAAAAUUUUCCUUAUAGGCCACAUUAGACUUCACACUGGAGAGAAGCCUUUCACCUGCCCUCAGUGUGGAAAGAGUUUCGCAAUCAAAAGAAACCUAAAGACUCACAUAAGAAGUCACACUGGAGAGAAUCCAUACACAUGUGAUCAGUGCGGCAGGAGUUUCAGAUAUAAAGAAAGCCUUAAUAAUCACAUGAAGAUUCACUCAAGAGAGAAUUUCAAGAGUUUUAAAACACUCAAGAGUUUUAAAUGUCAUCAGUGUGAAAGGAGUUUCACAGACACAAAUCACCUUCAGGAUCAUGUUAAAAUUCACAUCGGAGAAAAGCCUUUCAUGUGCCGUCACUGUGGGAAGAGUUGCUCAAAGGCAGGACACCUCAAGGAUCACUUGAGAAUUCACACUGGAGAGAAACCUUUCACCUGUGAACAGUGUGGAAAGAGUUUCAGUGCUAAAGGAAGCCUAAAGACUCACAUAAGUAUUCACACUGGAGAGAGACCUUACAAGUGUCUUCAGUGUGAGAAGAGUUUCAAACGUCAAAGCAGCAUGAAACGUCAUUUGAAAACGCAUUCUGGGAAGAAAUUGCCGUUUUCCUCAGAGUGACAAGAUGUUUAGAAAAAGGAGCGAUUUCUACAAUCAUUUGUGCAUUCAUUCUACAAGACGAUUUAAUUGUGGUCAAUAGGAGAAGAAGAGAGGGCGAUCACAAAGUAGUGAUACCUUUUAACAUCUACAGAGGUCACACCUCCAGGGGGUACUGUAACUUUCAGAAGUAAAGUUUAUGACUCUUUGGCUGCAUUCAUAUACUUUCUGAGCAGGUACUUAAUUUAAAUAAGUAUUUACUUAAUGAGCGCUAAAAGAGUACAUACACUAUAGCCUGAGUGCAUUAAGUAUGAAUGCGAUCCACACAUCAUC